GAUUUACAUAAUGGACAUAAGAUUUACAUACAAAAAGUAGAAACAAAUUUAUUAGUUAACUAUGAGUUCAUACCUACUGUUAUUGCCCAUGCUAAUGUCCGUAUACGGCUUAGGUAUUCCAAGGCAUAAAAACACAAUUAGAG
rnacentral:lncRNA from 1 species